AAGGAUCAUUAACAAAUCUAAACACACCCUGUGCAAACGUCUGCGUUCCCUUGGGUCGUCUGCUCACGCAGACUGCUGUGGUGGUGUUGGCACACGAUCACGAUCACGAUCAUCACGAUCAUGAGAUGUGUGUGCAUAAUAUGCCACCACGACCAAGGGACCGUCUAUCUUACACUAUUGAUUGACAGCCUUAGAUCGUUAUUAAGUUAACAACAACUUUUAACAAUGGAUCUCUUGGCUCUU
rnacentral:misc_RNA from 1 species